rnacentral:sRNA from 1 species
AGGAUCCAUGAGCACUGAAAUUCUUUGCUCGCAAGGCCGCAUCGCUGAAAUGCUUUUGACAACGGAUGUACGGGCACUGGUAAGAAGGCGAUGGUGAGUAGGGCGGUGCGGUUUCGCCCGGCCUUUUUUUGCCU